UUACGGCCACAUCACGUUGAAACAUUAGUUCCUUUACGAUCACCGAAGUUAAGCAAAGUCAAGCUUGGUCAGUACCUAAAUGGGUGACCGAUUGGAAAUACCAGGUGCUAUA